AGUCGAGCGGCAGCGACUUAACUGAACCUUCGGGGAACGUUAAGGGCGGCGCGGCGGACGGGUGAGUAAUGCCUGGGAAUAUGCCCUGAUGUGGGGGAUAACUAUUGGAAACGAUAGCUAAUACCGCAUAAUCUCUUCGGAGCAAAGAGGGGGACCUUCGGGCCUCUCGCGUCAGGAUUAGCCCAGGUGGGAUUAGCUUGUUGGUGAGGUAAUGGCUCACCAAGGCAACGAUCCCUAGCUGGUCUGAGAGGAUGAUCAGCCACACUGGAACUGAGACACGGUCCAGACUCCUACGGGAGGCAGCAGUGGGGAAUAUUGCACAAUGGGGGAAACCCUGAUGCAGCCAUGCCGCGUGUGUGAAGAAGGCCUUCGGGUUGUAAAGCACUUUCAGUAGGGAGGAAGGUAGUGUAGUUAACACCUGCAUUAUUUGACGUUACCUACAGAAGAAGCACCGGCUAACUCCGUGCCAGCAGCCGCGGUAAUACGGAGGGUGCGAGCGUUAAUCGGAAUUACUGGGCGUAAAGCGCAUGCAGGCGGCCUGUUAAGUCAGAUGUGAAAGCCCGGGGCUUAACCUCGGAAUUGCAUUUGAAACUGGCAGGCUAGAGUCUUGUAGAGGGGGGUAGAAUUUCAGGUGUAGCGGUGAAAUGCGUAGAGAUCUGAA
rnacentral:rRNA from 1 species